rnacentral:rRNA from 1 species
UUGGAGGGCAAGUCUGGUGCCAGCAGCCGCGGUAAUUCCAGCUCCAAUAGCGUAUAUUAAAGUUGUUGUGGUUAAAAAGCUCGUAGUUGAACCUUGGGCCUGGCUGGCCGGUCCGCCUCACCGCGUGUACUGGUCCGGCCGGGCCUUUCCCUCUGUGGAACCCCAUGCCCUUCACUGGGUGUGGCGGGGAAACAGGACUUUUACUGUGAAAAAAUUAGAGUGCUCCAGGCAGGCCUAUGCUCGAAUACAUUAGCAUGGAAUAAUAGAAUAGGACGUGUGGUUCUAUUUUGUUGGUUUCUAGGACCGCCGUAAUGAUUAAUAGGGACAGUCGGGGGCAUCAGUAUUCAAUUGUCAGAGGUGAAAUUCUUGGAUUUAUUGAAGACUAACUACUGCGAAAGCAUUUGCCAAGGAUGUUUUCAUUAAUCAGGAACGCCUUUAUGGGGAUCGAAGACGAUCAGAUACCGUGGUAGUCUUAACCAUAAACUAUGCUGACUAGGAUCGGAACGAUUUUUGGCUUUUGAUAAAAAAA